UACGUAGGGUGCAAACGUUGUUCGGAAUCACUGGGCAUAAGGGCGCGUAGGCGGUCCAUUAAGUCCUUUGUGAAAGCCCCCGGCUCAACCGGGGAAUUGCAGGGGAUACUGUUGGGCUUGAGUGCAGGAGGGGAGAGCGGAAUUCCUGGUGGAGCGGUGAAAUGCGUAGAUAUCAGGAGGAACGCCGGUGGCGAAAGCGGCUCUCUGGUCUGUUACUGACGCUGAGGCGCGAAAGCUAGGGGAGCAAACGGG
rnacentral:rRNA from 1 species